rnacentral:pre_miRNA from 1 species
AUUGGCACUUUUGGAAUUGUCACCAGUGUUCCCCUCGACUCGACGCUGGCGGUGGUGCCUUUGAGGGUUUGCGGUGACGGUCUAAAAGUGCCGA